CCCAAGAGAUCGGGAUAACACCUGGAAACAGAUGCUAAUACCGGAUAACAACAGAUGAUGCCUAUCAACUGUUUAAAAGAUGGUUCUGCUAUCACUCUUGGAUGGACCUGCGGUGCAUUAGCUAGUUGGUAGGGUAACGGCCUACCAAGGCGAUGAUGCAUAGCCGAGUUGAGAGACUGAUCGGCCACAAUGGAACUGAGACACGGUCCAUACUCCUACGGGAGGCAGCAGGC
rnacentral:rRNA from 1 species